GCAGGGGUAGCCAAGUCUGGUCAAAGGCGCAGGCUUCAGGAGCCUGUCCCGUAGGGGUUCAAGGGUUCAAAUCCCUUCCCCUGCA
rnacentral:tRNA from 1 species